rnacentral:rRNA from 1 species
GACGAACGCUGGCGGCGCGCCUAACACAUGCAAGUCGAACGAGCGAGAGAGAGCUUGCUUUCUCGAGCGAGUGGCGAACGGGUGAGUAACGCGUGAGGAACCUGCCUCAAAGAGGGGGACAACAGUUGGAAACGACUGCUAAUACCGCAUAAGCCCACAGCUCGGCAUCGAGCAGAGGGAAAAGGAGUGAUCCGCUUUGAGAUGGCCUCGCGUCCGAUUAGCUGGUUGGUGAGGUAACGGCUCACCAAGGCGACGAUCGGUAGCCGGACUGAGAGGUUGAACGGCCACAUUGGGACUGAGACACGGCCCAGACUCCUACGGGAGGCAGCAGUGGGGAAUAUUGCACAAUGGGGGAAACCCUGAUGCAGCGACGCCGCGUGGAGGAAGAAGGUCUUCGGAUUGUAAACUCCUGUUGUUGAGGAAGAUAAUGACGGUACUCAACAAGGAAGUGACGGCUAACUACGUGCCAGCAGCCGCGGUAAAACGUAGGUCACAAGCGUUGUCCGGAAUUACUGGGUGUAAAGGGAGCGCAGGCGGGAAAGCAAGUUGGAAGUGAAAUCCAUGGGCUCAACCCAUGAACUGCUUUCAAAACUGUUUUUCUUGAGUAGUGCAGAGGUAGGCGGAAUUCCCGGUGUAGCGGUGGAAUGCGUAGAUAUCGGGAGGAACACCAGUGGCGAAGGCGGCCUACUGGGCACCAACUGACGCUGAGGCUCGAAAGUGUGGGUAGCAAACAGG